CCCUUAGAUGUCCUGGGCCGCACGCGUGCUACACUGACGCCUACAGCGAGUACUUCCCAGCCCCGAGAGGUGGCUGGUAAUCAGCAAUAGGCGUCGUGAUGGGGAUAGAUCUUUGGAAUUAUGGAUCUUGAACGAGGAAUGCCUAGUAAGCGCAGGUCAUUAGCCUGCGUUGAUUAAGUCCCUGCCCUUUGUACACACCGCCCGUCGCUCCUACCGAUUUCGAGUGGUCCGGUGAAUCUUUCGGACUGCGCGCGGCCUCGUGCCGUGUCGCGGAAAGUCAGGUAAACCUUAUCACUUAGAGGAAGGAGAAGUCGUAACA
rnacentral:rRNA from 1 species